UUGCUGGCUGGGACCCAGCUCUAGCUCCGACUAUAGCAAGGCCUCAUCCCCAACGCUCGGCAACCGAUGCAUGACAACACGAGCUCAGGGCUGCUUUAAGGCUUUGGGUGCUGGGGAGUGGUGGGUUUCACUGUGAAGGCUGUUUGAGCCUUAAAUCUGCACGGACUGAGGAAGGGUUAAGGUAUCCGACUACACUUGCUUCCACAACUCCCCCACCCCUGAGAGCCCUGCAUUCAGAUGUGGUAGCAAUGAAGACGAGAAGCCAGAGCAGAAAUCCCCCUGAUCCUUGUUAAACACUGGGAGACCGUGUUAUUCCCACAUUACGGUGCAGCGGUACAUAGAGCAUUAGUGCCAGGCUGAUUUGAAAUCAUAUGGUGUCUUACUGAAAAGAGUGUCAAUGAAGGUGGAUGGUGUCUUCGCUUUACUGUCUGAGUGCUAAAUAAAGGUCUACGCAAAGCA